rnacentral:rRNA from 1 species
AGCGAACGCUGGCGGCAGGCCUAACACAUGCAAGUCGAACGAUCCUUCGGGAUAGUGGCGGACGGGUGAGCAACACGUGGGAACGUGCCCUUUGGUUCGGAAUAACUCAGGGAAACUUGAGCUAAUACCGGAUGUGCCCUUCGGGGGAAAGAUUUAUCGCCAUUGGAGCGGCCCGCGUUGGAUUAGCUAGUUGGUGGGGUAAAGGCCCACCAAGGCUACGAUCCAUAGCUGGUCUGAGAGGAUGAUCAGCCACACUGGGACUGAGACACGGCCCAGACUCCUACGGGAGGCAGCAGUGGGGAAUCUUGCGCAAUGGGCGAAAGCCUGACGCAGCCAUGCCGCGUGAAUGAUGAAGGUCUUAGGAUUGUAAAAUUCUUUCACCGGGGACGAUAAUGACGGUACCCGGAGAAGAAGCCCCGGCUAACUUCGUGCCAGCCGCCGCGGUAAGAC